rnacentral:rRNA from 1 species
CCUCAAAUCAGGCAGGACUACCCGCUGAACUUAAGCAUAUCAAUAAGCGGAGGAAAAGAAACUAACAAGGAUUCCCCUAGUAACUGCGAGUGAAGCGGGAAGAGCUCAAAUUUAAAAUCUGGCGGCCCCCCUGGCUGUCCGAGUUGUAAGCUAGAGAAGCGCAGUCCGCGCUGGGGCCAUGUACAAGUCUCCUGGAACGGAGCGUCAUAGAGGGUGAGAAUCCCGUCUCUGACAUGGACCUCCCAGGGCAUAGCGAUUGCGUUCUCAAAGAGUCGAGUUGUUUGGGAAUGCAGCUCCAAAUGGGUGGUAAACUCCAUCUAAAGCUAAACAUAGGCGAGAGACCGAUAGCGAACAAGUACCGUGAGGGAAAGAUGAAAAGAACUUUGGAAAGAGAGUUAAACAGUACGUGAAAUUGUUGAAAGGGAAACGCUUGAAGUCAGUCACGUCGGCUUGGGAUCAGCCUUGCWACUGCGAGGUGCACUCCCUGAUCGACGGGUCAGCACCAGUUUCGACCGCUGGAGAAAGGUCGGGGGAAUGUGGCAUCCUCGGAUGUGUUUAUAGCCCUCGAUUGCAUGCAUCGGUUGGGAUUGAGGAACUCAGCGCGCCGCAAGGCCGGGUUUUCGAACCACGUCCGCGCUCAGGAUGCUGGCACAAU